rnacentral:rRNA from 1 species
UACGUAGGGUGCGAGCGUUGUCCGGAAUUAUUGGGCGUAAAGAGCUCGUAGGCGGUGUGUCACGUCGGCCGUGAAAACCUGCAGCUUAACUGUGGGCGUGCGGUCGAUACGGGCAUCACUGGAGUUCGGCAGGGGAGACUGGAAUUCCUGGUGUAGCGGUGAAAUGCGCAGAUAUCGGGAGGAACACCAGUAGCGAAGGCGGCUCGCUGGGCCAUUCCUGACGCUGAGGAGCGAAAGCGUGGGGAGCAAACAGG